AAAAGAAAGACGGAAAAUUCAUAUAUCAGUAUCAGUUCAUUCAAUUAGAGGUUGUUUAAACUUGUCCCAUCUCAGAUAUCUUUUAAGAGUCUGUGGUUAACUUUAACACGGAACACAUGGAAUACCAUAAAAUAAUACCAAGAAAUGAGGAAAGAGGCGUUACAGAAGAAGACGAAACUGUUUUCAACAUUAGAAAAAGGAAUAGUUCAACAAAAAUGGACAUGCAAAGGAAAAGAAUUAAAGCUUUAAAGAAGCGAGUUAGAGUAACAGCGCACAGAAGCCUUAAUAAAGGGAUUAUAAAAAGUAGAAAACAUCAAACAAAGAGACUGAAAGGUAAA